UCAAACCUUGGUCUUCAUGCUCAUUCUUAGCGAGACGACAUGAGGAAAACCAAAGUUAGUGACAAUUAUCACCUCAUUAGCAUGUCUAUUAUUUCAAUUUCUUCUGGUUUGAUCUUUGGGCUGAGAUUCCGUUUGACAAAAUUUUGUAGAGGAGAAAAGACAAAUGACAUGCAUGAAUUUGCCGAAAAACUAAUUUGGAGAGGAACUUGGAGUACUAUCAAUGACAUUAAAGGAAGAUUGAAGGGGCUUGGAGAGAUUUAAGCAGCAAAAAAGAGCUUAAAAAGCAUUGAAUUUAGCCCAAGAAAUAACCACACAGGUGUGACAAGUCCCCACAACAGUAUGGGUGUUGCUAAUGUUAAUUGUUAUUCGUGAGUUAUUAGUGUAUUGAACAAUUGUAAGAAAAUAGCCUAUUCACGAGUUAUUAGUGUAUCUUAUCGUUUUAUA